GCUGGUAGUUCAGUGGUAGGAUUCUCACCUUCCACAUGGGAGACCCAGGUUCAAUUCCUGGCCAAUGCA
rnacentral:tRNA from 1 species